AACGAACGCUGGCGGCACGCCUAACACAUGCAAGUCGAACGAGACCUUCGGGUCUAGUGGCGCACGGGUGCGUAACGCGUGGGAACCUGCCUUUAGGUUCGGAAUAACUCAGAGAAAUUUGAGCUAAUACCGGAUGAUGUCUUCGGACCAAAGAUUUAUCGCCUUUAGAUGGGCCCGCGUUGGAUUAGCUAGUUGGUGGGGUAAAGGCCUACCAAGGCGACGAUCCAUAGCUGGUCUGAGAGGAUGAUCAGCCACACUGGGACUGAGACACGGCCCAGACUCCUACGGGAGGCAGCAGUGGGGAAUAUUGGACAAUGGGCGAAAGCCUGAUCCAGCAAUGCCGCGUGAGUGAUGAAGGCCUUAGGGUUGUAAAGCUCUUUUACCCGAGAUGAUAAUGACAGUAUCGGGAGAAUAAGCUCCGGCUAACUCCGUG
rnacentral:rRNA from 1 species